rnacentral:rRNA from 1 species
AGUGAACGCUGGCGGUAGGCCUAACACAUGCAAGUCGAACGGCAGCACAGUAAGAGCUUGCUCUUACGGGUGGCGAGUGGCGGACGGGUGAGGAAUACAUCGGAAUCUACUUUUUCGUGGGGGAUAACGUAGGGAAACUUACGCUAAUACCGCAUACGACCUACGGGUGAAAGCAGGGGAUCUUCGGACCUUGCGCGAUUGAAUGAGCCGAUGUCGGAUUAGCUAGUUGGCGGGGUAAAGGCCCACCAAGGCGACGAUCCGUAGCUGGUCUGAGAGGAUGAUCAGCCACACUGGAACUGAGACAAGGUCCAGACUCCUACGGGAGGCAGCAGUGGGGAAUAUUGGACAAUGGGCGCAAGCCUGAUCCAGCCAUACCGCGUGGGUGAAGAAGGCCUUCGGGCUGUAAAGCCCUUUUGUUGGGAAAGAAAAGCAGCAGGUUAAUACCCCGCUGUUCUGACGGUACCCAAAGAAUAAGCACCGGCUAACUUCGUG